UUUUAAACCAUUUACCAUGUUAUAGGGAAGCCUCAAGAAGUAUCAAGUGGAUUACAUGCAAGGUUGUCCCCAAGGACCACUGGAUUCUUAUGUUGCCAGCAUCUGUUCUGGAGGACAUUUUUAUUGAUGUGGUUCUCCAGGAGGGUGAUGAGGCAAUUUUGAAGCUGGCCCUUGUGUGCACUCGCUUCAGAGACCUUGUGACACGGGAAGGCUUCAGGAGACGAGCCCAUUUCCUUUGGCUUGACAGUGUCACAAAUUGAACUGUUUUCUCACCGUACUACAAGGCGGAGUACUACAAAAUGUACAAACCGGAAACGUGUAGGCAAUGUGGAGACGUAUACAAACACUGCACUCCAAGAUAUGGAGGUCGAGGAAGAAAGGGGGAACUUUUUAAAAUUAUAAGUGAAGACACCCACCCAGACUUCUGCAGCGAGUUCUGCCAGAUCUGUGCUGACCAGUGUGAAAGGAUGAAUAGCUAAUUGUGAAUGUCUGGUGGUUUCCCUGUAAUGUUUGUGUCAUUCUGCGCGUGCUCCCAAUGUGGUUUUCCUUAUGUUUUGCCUUCAAAGUUUCCCUACUGUUUUCAAAAUGUCUGUUUUACCUAGUGUGUUAAUAAACGUUUUUUUUU